CCAAAAACCCUAGCUCAUUCUUUCCCUCCCCUUCUCUCUCUUCUCCACCGGCGGCUGUGCAAGCGAGCGGGCGGAGCGAGCCGAACAGCGGUGGCGCGGAGCGCCAGCGCCCGUGGUGGAGGAGGUCCGGCACCGACGAGCAAGCGUGCCUCCCGUGCGGGCGUAACCCGCGGGAUCCGCGGCGGCGAUGGCGAGGGGGCCAUGUCCGGCCUGCGGGCGGCCUUCCGGCAGCGCACGGCUCACGGAGGGAGCCGGCGUCUCGCCGUUGCAGCGGGGACGGCAGAGCCACUCGGGGCCAAAACCCGGGCGCGCCUGCCACUGAUGCGCUGACCGUGGCGGCGCCGAGGCACCACGACCACAGCGGCCCCUUAGGAACGUCCACCGCCCCUUCUUCCCCUUGAUUGUAGGGUCAGGGAUUCAUGAUUUUGGGGAUUUCACUGUAGCUAGGGUUCUUGAUUUGGGGAUUUUAGGAAAUAGCUUAGGAUUAGUACUUUAUUUCUUCAAUUCCCCUUCUUCCUCAUGCAUUCAAAACCCUAGCCAAAGAUAGCAUAAUUUCGGGCAUGAUUUGCCUUAACUGAGAAAAAAAUAGGAGCUUAGCAACAUGAACAGGGGCCUUUUCUUAUGAAUUCGGGUUCAAACUUAGGGCUAGAUGGCUCUGGUGCCAUUGUUAGGUCUUAGGAUCACUAGCCUAAGAGUGAACCACAAAUAGAGGCUCAAGUUAGGAUUUAUACCUUUGUUCUUGAGCUCUCAUCUUUUUCUCUUUUCUUCUGUUCUUCUUCUCCUCCUUGCUUUAGCCGGUUAGGGCUUUGGGAAUCCCUUCCCAGUGUUUCUUGUGCUCCUUUUGAUUGGGUUCACAGUGGGGCAGAGUUUUUUUGGGCAGUCUCUAGGACGUGCCUCUGCCCCUGGGGUUAAUCCCCUUAUAUACAUGAGCACAGCACACGGGGAGAACUCCCCUGGUGUGUUCUAGGAGGGGCUCCAAUCAAGCCCCUCAUUAAAUAAGGUCAAAGAUGGUGUGCCACCAGUUUAGACUAGUGAUCACCAUGUUCACACCAACAGGCCUGCGAUCCUCCAGCACGCCUGCCUCCCUCCGGGCUCCGGCCAGCCUAGAGGACGCUGCCUCCCUCCGAGGUUUGAAGGAGCUUUGCCACUUUCAAAGGAUAUGCCUGGUUCGAAGGAGACUUUUGACGAGGUUUGCUUAGAUAGUUAGAUGACUACUCUGAAAUUCUUACUUGGUUCACUGCUUUUGAAACAACAUCUGCUUAAAUUCAACCUGCUCUAUUUCAGUAGCUGCUUACAUUUGAUUUUUUAUUAAAUUGUUCAUCACACAACAUGCACGUGGUAGUUUAUUCAGAUGCUCUUUGCAGCAAUAAACUUUUGAGUUCAGUUUCUAAACUACCGUGCAUGCCUUCUGAUGAUGUGCUUCUUACUGUGUGCAGAGUAUGCCUUCACCAUGAAGGUCACUGAGAAGCGCGAUGUUUAUAGUUUCGGUGUAGUUUUGUUGGAACUACUGACCAGGCAAUCACUAAUUCAGCUUCUAGAGAAAGGAAGAGAUCUUGUGAAUUUGGUUCUGAAGCUAAUCGAUCAUAGACUUGCAGAGUUUUGCUGGACACAUGUAAGACAUUCUUAUGGCAUAAUGGCAGAGGUCACCAUGUAAUCCAAUUCCUUGUAAUGUUGCACCGCAACAUGUUUCUACAGUUGAAUACAUCUCUUCUGAAAUUUGUGUAGCAAGCAUCAUCACCUCAACUUUUUUGAGUAACAUUUCAUGGAGGUACAUCAGCUCUCAAAAA